UACGUAGGGGUCGAGCGUUGUCCGGAGUUACUGGGCGUAAAGCGCGUGCAGGUGGCUCAUUACGCCCGGCGUGAAAGCCCCCGGCUCAACCGGGGAGGGUCGUCGGGGACGGGUGAGCUUGAGGGUAGCAGGGGCUGGUAGAAUUCCCGGUGUAGUGGUGAAAUGCGUAGAUAUCAAGAGGAACACCUGCGGCGAAGGCGGGUUGCUGGGCCGACACUGACGCUGAGGCGCGAAAGCCAGGGGAGCGAACGGG
rnacentral:rRNA from 1 species